GAUGAACGCUGGCGGCGUGCCUAACACAUGCAAGUCGAACGGGAUGCGCAUCGGAAAGCUUCGGCCGGAAGAUACGUUAUCUAGUGGCGGACGGGUGAGUAACACGUGGGUAACCUGCCUUAUGGAGGGGGAUAACAGAGAGAAAUCACCGCUAAUACCGCAUAAGCACACAGUACCGCAUGGUACAGGGUGAAAAGAUUUAUCGCCAUAAGAUGGACCCGCGUCUGAUUAGCCAGUUGGCAGGGUAAAAGCCUACCAAAGCAACGAUCAGUAGCCGAUCUGAGAGGAUGACCGGCCACAUUGGGACUGAGACACGGCCCAAACUCCUACGGGAGGCAGCAGUGGGGAAUAUUGCACAAUGGGGGAAACCCUGAUGCAGCGACGCCGCGUGAGUGAAGAAGUAUUUCGGUAUGUAAAGCUCUAUCAGCAGGGAAGAUAAUGACAGUACCUGACUAAGAAGCCCCGGCUAACUACGUGCCAGCAGCCGCGGUAAUACGUAGGGGGCAAGCGUUAUCCGGAUUUACUGGGUGUAAAGGGAGCGUAGACGGAGUGGCAAGUCUGAAGUGAAAACCCUGGGCUUAACCUAGGGACUGCUUUGGAAACUGUUAAUCUAGAGUGUUGGAGAGGUAAGUGGAAUUCCUGGUGUAGCGGUGAAAUGCGUAGAUAUCAGGAAGAACACCGGAGGCGAAGGCGGCUUACUGGACAAUAACUGACGUUGAGGCUCGAAAGCGUGGGGAUCAAACAGG
rnacentral:rRNA from 1 species